AUACUCACCUGGCGGGAGAAACACCAUGAUCAUGAAGGUGGUUUUCCCAAAUCGAGGUUAUCCAUUGCACUCAGGAUGUGCUGACCCCUGCGAUUUCCCGAAAUGUGGGAAACUUGACGGCAUAAUUUGUGAUAGUGGGAGACUACGUCUGCACUCUUUCCUG
ensembl:snRNA U1 U1 spliceosomal RNA